ACAACAGAAGCUGCUUGUCAUGAUGUCAUGAUUUCUGAACUGAAUAUCUUUUCUCUCACUGUUCUGAUCUCACAGAGAUUCAAGCGUGUCUGAAGUCUUGUCAGACGAGAAUGAGAACUUUAGCCAACAGAUCCCAGCAGGACCAGAAUCAACGUUCACCGGAGCAGCAGGAUCAGGUGGUAGUCCAGCUACUGGAUCAAAGCAGAAAUAGAAAUGAAUCCUCUCCUGGAGAAUAAAGAUGAGGAUACUGAAGGACGUAAAGUUACAGAAGAGACUCAUCUCACAAACAUAAGAGAAGAUCAUUCAUAAACACCUUAACACCAGUUAUACCUUUUCUAGCCGUGUUUCCCAAACUAUACAUAAGUUAUACCUUAGGAGGUUACUUUCUUACGUCUCACGUUACCAGGUGAUGUCCAUGGCUGUCCGUCGAUCGCUCGACAAUCAAUUAUUCACUCUAUACAGGGACUGCUUCACUGCCUCAUGUGACGUGGCGCCGUUCUUUAUCAAAUAAGCACUUUAGAAAUAGUUGAAGUUGCAUUUAUUAGGACUCAAAGGAUAAAAAUAAACCACAUUGCAAACUAAAUCCAACCACGAAUAUUAUUUAAUUGUGAUCAAAGGUUCUCAAACUUUGGGUCAUGAGGGUCAAGCGGAGUGAACUCUUAACAGUGAUGAGGUAUAGCUAAGAGCGCUCCAGACUAACCUUACAGAAGGUUACUUAACUAAGAACGUUUCGGGAAACACAUAUUAACCAUAAGGUACAACUUAAGGUAACUUAAGAACUAUUUAGCGAUAAGAAGGUUUCGGGAAACGGCCGUUAGAUCAAACUCUCAUGAGCUGAGAACUGACAUCAGUUCAGUCUUGUUCUUUAUUUAUAAUUUACAUUUUAUUUUGUACUGUGAGAUGUUUUUAGUUUUUCAUUAAUGUUUUCACUCGUGUGAAAACAGCUCUACAGUAAAUAGGCAGUUGGAUUUAAGACUAAUUCUAUCUGUAACUUUAACUAGUGUAAAUGAAAACAAAACAUGGUUAAAUCUUCAACAAACAUUAUAGAAGUCACUGUAUAUGAUCAGAGUUUGUGGUUUAAGUCUCAAGUUCACAGUGAUGUCAGGACAGGAUUGUACAGGAUCAUUAAAUCUUCCGUUUCUGGGUCGUUUCCACCCAUAAUGAUCAUUUCAGUGAGAGAUUAUUAAUAUUGUAAAUAUUUAAGCAGGCGUCACAACACUGCACUUGACAUUCAGGUUUAAAUCCGUUUGCAACCCUGAAGAUGUAAAUGUUUUUUAUGUUUUGGUGCUGAAUUAUUAAAAAUGUCUUCAAGAUUAAAUAGAUCGAAAAGUUGUGGAUUAUUUUGUAUAAAUUCAUUUAGAUACAAAAUAUAACUGAACUCAAAUGUAUUUUGAUCACUAAUUCAAUUCACAUUCAUUUGUGGAGCACUUUUCACAAUGCGUUUCAAAGCAGCUUUACAGAAAAUGCAUGUUUAUUUGUUAUCAGACAGAAUCAGAUCAGUCUUUAAUUCAUAUCAGAAAGUGUUUUUAAGGUGGUAUAAAUCCAAAUGAAUGUGCAAUGAUAAGAUGAUCAUAAAGAGAACUAUAUGUAGAAUUUGACAGAAUUGUGUGAUGAUCCAGAGCUGGUGUUCACAGCAUCAUCUCUUCACAAGUGUUAUUGGCUCAUCUGAAGUUUCAUAGUCAGUGUUCAGCAAGCAUUCAAUAACCCACAAUCAUACACAACAUCAUGACAUACAUUUUUAUUUGUAUGGUUUGUUCUGCUUGUGUCUUGUUCACUUUAUACAGGCCAUCUGUUUCCACUGCUUAGUUUAAUUCAUUGUUGCAAGGUCAAACUUAUCAUCUAUUGAUGUCAUGAAACAUUUUUUGCAAAGUUGCUUACAUUACUUUGAGUAGUUAACGACAUAAUGAUGUUAACCAUUACAUCAACGUAAUAUUGUGUGUCAUUUAAACUUAAAUAUUUGCAUUAAUUUGUUUAAAACAAUAUCUAAGUCAUGUUUUCAGGCUACAGUUGAGGUUAGGAUUUCAAGGCUCCUCAACACUUAACAUUCUAGACAAACUCUGUGUUAGAUGUGAACUGCAAGUGUAUUGCUUUGCAUUGCAUUUAAUUUUAAUUUUGCUUAUAUAAAAUAAAGAGGCAUUCACUGAA